CGUUCAGGGGUAAACCUUCGGAACUCGAAUGAACGAACGGGGAGAUUCAUCGUCAUCCGGCGGGCGGCCAUGCUGUCGCGUGAUGUGUAGCCCUCCGGCGAUCUCGGUCGUCCGGUGCGAGUUACGCACAUGCGCGGCGUGUGCCUCACGUCCGUCGGCGGCGUGCACUUCUCCCUUAGUACUGCAUCGCGACCCGCUCGAUGUCGGCCUAAGCGCCGUCCGGGAGCCCGCGGCGUUUAAUCGCGCCGCGGACCGUGACGGAUGCCGGCCGGCUGUCGGGCGGUAUUUGACACGAAACACGCACGCGUUAGUCGCGUCCAGCCCGACGCAAGGGCCCCCUCGCGGGGUCCUGUCGAUCGCAGCCGUGCCGUCUUGGACGUGCGUGCAUCUAGUCUGCGAUGUUUAUGUUUCGGGCACUCGCAGGACCCGUCUUGAAACACGGACCAAGGAGUCUAGCAUGUGUGCGAGUCACUAGGUGUUUAACUAAACCGAAAGGCGCAACGAAAGUGAAGGCGCGCGCUUGCCGCGAGCUCGGGGAGGAUGGCGGUGCAGCUCACAAGGUCGCCGCCCGCACUCCCGAGGCGUCCCGUUCGCAAUUUGUCGAUGUGGGCGCGCUCAGAGUACAAAUGCUGGGACCCGAAAGAUGGUGAACUAUGCCUGGUCAGGUCGAAGUCAGGGGAAACCCUGAUGGAGGACCGUAGCGAUUCUGACGUGCAAAUCGAUCGUCGGAACUGGGUAUAGGGGCGAAAGACUAAUCGAACCAUC
rnacentral:rRNA from 1 species